GUGAGGAAUAUUGCGCAAUGGAGGCAACUCUGACGCAGCCAUGCCGCGUGCAGGAAGAAGGCGCUACGCGUUGUAAACUGCUUUUAACCGGGAAGAAACCCCAGGACGUGUCCUGGGUUGACGGUACCGGAGGAAUAAGCACCGGCUAACUUCGUGCCAGCAGCCGCGGUAAUACGAAGGGUGCAAGCGUUAUCCGGAUUCAUUGGGUUUAAAGGGUGCGUAGGCGGAGCGUUAAGUCAGUGGUGAAAUCCUGCAGCUUAACUGUAGACUUGCCAUUGAUACUGGCGCUCUUGAGUGCGCUUGAAGUGGGCGGAAUGUGCCGUGUAGCGGUGAAAUGCUUAGAUAUGGCACAGAACACCAAUUGCGAAUGCAGCUCACUAAGGCGAUACUGACGCUGAGGCACGAAAGCGUGGGGAUCGAACAGGAUUAGAAACCCCUGUAGUCC
rnacentral:rRNA from 1 species